rnacentral:rRNA from 1 species
AUUGAACGCUGGCGGCAGGCCUAACACAUGCAAGUCGAACGGUAACAGGAAACAGCUUGCUGUUUCGCUGACGAGUGGCGGACGGGUGAGUAAUGUCUGGGAAACUGCCUGAUGGAGGGGGAUAACUACUGGAAACGGUAGCUAAUACCGCAUAACGUCGCAAGACCAAAGAGGGGGACCUUCGGGCCUCUUGCCAUCGGAUGUGCCCAGAUGGGAUUAGCUAGUAGGUGGGGUAACGGCUCACCUAGGCGGCGAUCCCUAGCUGGUCUGAGAGGAUGACCAGCCACACUGGAACUGAGACACGGUCCAGACUCCUACGGGAGGCAGCAGUGGGGAAUAUUGCACAAUGGGCGCAAGCCUGAUGCAGCCAUGCCGCGUGUAUGAAGAAGGCCUUCGGGUUGUAAAGUACUUUCAGCGGGGAUGAAGGGAGUAAAGUUAAUACCUUUGCUCAUUGACGUUACCCGCAGAAGAAGCACCGGCUAACUCCGUG